GGAGGAGUGUGGGAAGAGGAAGGAAAAAAGAGAGCGAGAGCGAGAGGAAGAGAAAGAUGUCACUGUCUCUAAUCUCCCUGUCAUUUUUAUUUCCAGCAGGCGCAGGGCGAAGGAGCUGCUAGAACAAUGCUGAGGCGGGUGAGGUGAGGAGCAGCCCCUCGCGGCAGCCCCGACAGAGUGUCUGGAACAGGUGAUUGGAGGAGCCGGAGACCCAGGCACCUGGGCAUCCUUCCCCUCGCCUCUGCCAGGCCCCGCACCCCUAAAAGGUGGGAAAACCAUGGCGACCAAUUUCAGUGACAUCGUCAAGCAAGGCUACGUGAAGAUGAAGAGCAGGAAGCUCGGGACCCCCAACUGGUGAAGACCCCCUAGAAGACAGGAGCAGAGGGGAUCAACUUCAUGAUCUCGGCGAGGCUGUCUGAGAGCUGCCUCUAUUCCUCUGCCAGGCCCCCCUGCCAAAGACAGAUCUACCGGAGGUGCUGGCUGGUGUUCCGGAAAUCCUCCAGCAAGGGGCCCCAGCGGCUGGAGAAGUAUCCAGAUGAGAAGUCGGUGUGCCUCCGGGGCUGCCCCAAGGUGACUGAGAUCAGCAACGUCAAGUGUGUCACGCGGCUCCCCAAGGAGACCAAGCGGCAGGCGGUGGCCAUCAUAUUCACUGAUGACUCGGCACGUACCUUCACUUGCGACUCAGAGCUAGAGGCAGAGGAGUGGUACAAGACACUAUCUGUGGAGUGUCUGGGGUCCCGCCUCAACGACAUCAGUCUGGGAGAACCUGACCUCCUGGCCCCAGGGGUGCAGUGUGAACAGACAGAUCGCUUCAAUGUCUUCCUGCUGCCCUGCCCCAACCUGGACGUGUAUGGCGAGUGCAAGCUGCAGAUCACCCACGAGAACAUCUACCUCUGGG
rnacentral:sRNA from 1 species